rnacentral:rRNA from 1 species
UACGUAGGGUGCGAGCGUUGUCCGGAAUUAUUGGGCGUAAAGAGCUCUUAGGCGGUUUGUUGCGUCUAUCGUGAAAACCUGCAGCUUAACUGUGGGCUUGCGGUGGAUACGGGCAGACUUGAGUUCGGUAGGGGAGACUGGAAUUCCUGGUGUAGCGGUGAAAUGCGCAGAUAUCAGGAGGAACACCGGUGGCGAAGGCGGGUCUCUGGGCCGAUACUGACGCUGAGGAGCGAAAGCGUGGGGAGCGAACAGG